UGGCGAUGUUGGUGAUGCCCAGGGGCACGAGGAAGCGGAUGAGGGGCCAGUAGUUGCAGGAGCAUUCUAGAAAAGUGAAGAUUUCCUCCUCAAGAGCAAAUCAGAUGAAGAAUGACCAGUUCUCCACUAAGUAUGUCCAGACAUCUCUUGAACAAAGGAAUAAAUAAAUAAAACUGCAUGAGACUUCUGCUGCAUUAACAUUAAGUUCACCUCAGUGAUGACAACCUGCCAGUAGUGAGAAGUGCUUAAAAAAGUCUGUGCUCUACCUCAUGGGUAUUAUGAACGUAUGAAAAUGAAAGCUUUUGGAGAAGGAAUAUGACGGCUUUAGAGGCAUGAAACUCUUGGGAAGAAGAGGCAACUAACUGCUUUGCUAACAUAAGAGCAGGAGUCGUUGAAAGUUGGAGCCUACAUUCUCAAAAGGUCCUCCAUGUACUCUGCUCAGAAAAAUUCACCAUUAUCAGAGUCUUUUUUGAAACAGCGCUCUUCCAGGAGACAUCCAUACCAAAAUACCACUAGUAUAAAAUCUCUGGCACACCCAUCCCAAAGCAGAUGGGGUGAGAAGGUAGCCAGGGCCUGCUUGUGGUGUCAGUGUGGUAGACCAGCUUCCUGCCACCUGACUGAGAUGCCUAUCUUAAGGUGAAAAUUGCUCUAAUCUUUUCCUGUAGAGAGAGAAGAGACCAGCCUCUGAGGUAAUGCUGAGAGCGGCUGAGUCACUGCCUUGAGGUUCUUGUUUCUCCUUGUUCUUUAGCUAGGGAUACUAGGCAUGGUACUCAUC